rnacentral:lncRNA from 1 species
AUGGCCCUGCUGAAAAGCUCCCUGGGGGUGCCUGUGCGGAGGGGGCCGCAGGCCUGGGACAAGCGGGGCCGGAUCCGGCCCCAGCAGCACCCGCCCAGCCGCGGCUGCUCCACGCAGGACGGCAGGCAGGCAGCCAGGACAGGGCAGCCCGCACCGGUGAGCAGCAAGGAACCCGGGGCUGCCCACGAGCAGAAGGCGCCGGAGCCGCGAGGGCAGCACACGCUGGCUGCGAGGAACGGGAGCCCCAGAUCCAGUCCCCUUCACAGCCAUCUCCCUCCUGCCCCCAAAACAGGAGCUGUGGUGGGAGGGAGUGGGAGCGGACACGUCUGGGGAGGGAACGCUGACGGAAGUUGUGCAACGUCCCCGUGCCCCAGGACAACAGCGAGCAGCACCUGCGCUGCCCGCACCUGCCCACGCUCAGCCCAGACGGUGCUGAGCCACACCGGGCCCGAACACAGCCUCGGGGCCAGGUGGGCACCGGGCACGUCCCUGCCCCUCACGCCACACCCGCACCCCUUCGGCCCCGCUGAAUCUCCCCGGCCACCUCCUUUGUUAGGGAGGCUGAAUUUCGGAGCACGGCACCCACGAACCCCUCCUCCGCUGACCCACUUCACGCCUUGGGGAGCAGCGGGGGGACCCGAGCCCCCCAGCUGGGCAAGCACAAUGGGAUGCCCACGGCAGCACCACACUCGCUCACCACACUCGCCCUGCCACAAAAUCCACGUCAAGGACGACUCGGCUCAACGCCUCAGACACCUCCUGCGUUUUCCCCACCGAGGCGGUGUAACUCCUCUGGCAGCGGGGGGAAGCCAUGCGAGGCACUCACAACGCAGCCCCACGGCCCUCACCGAGGGCUCGUCAAGCCACGAGCGCCCUGCCAGCGCCAGCCAGCGGGGACAGAGCCCCCAGACCCCCUCAUGCAAAGAGGAGAAGCCCCCCCGUUGCCCCGCUCUGCCCGCCGCCGGACGGCCCUGCGGCUCCAGCACCCGCCGCGGGAGGCCGGGACGAAGUUGUGCGCGCGGCCGGCAGGCCCUUUGUUACUUUGCUUUUGUUGUCACCCGCCGGCGCGUCCCCCCCCACGCCCGCCCCGAGGUCAGGGCACGGCAGCUGCCGGCCCUCCCCGCGCCACCCAGCGCCAGCCCCGUGUCCCCAGCGCGCCGGUGGGGCACGGCUGGCAGGGGACGCGGCGGCCGCUGCUCGUGGUGUGGCGGAGGCCAGCAGGAGCCCCGGGCUCGUGCCAUACAGUGCCACGACGCGCUUGAAUCCGGUGCUGUGGCAGGAGCUCUUGGCCACCCAGCUUUGGGCUUCCCGCUGUGUUUUGCCUUUCCUCGGGGGUGCGGGGUUUAUUUGGCUGCCAGGGAGGGCAAGUCAUUCGGGAGAGAAAUUUUAAAAAGAGGGUUCCGACAGACUGAGGAGCGGAUGGGGAAGGGCUCCCACGCCUGCCAACCCGGCCCUGCGAGGAGAGCCAGCCCUGCCCUCCUGCUGACCAGCACCCCGGAGGCGAGCACCUCGGCCUGCCCCUCUCGCCCCCCGCCAGCCCCGCUGCCCCCAGCUCCUUGCCAAGAAGCAGCGGCAGCGAGGCUGGGGCAGGGAGCGCGGCCGGGGCUGGCAGGGAAGGCCCCGAGACCCCCGGGCACCACUGGGGCCCAAGGGGACGGCGCUGGGGACGCUGCUGGCGGCUGUGUUUGGCACCCCCCAGCCACGAGGCGCCGUGCCGGGGACCCGCGACACCCCGGCGGCAGGCCCGCGGCUGCCUGA